rnacentral:rRNA from 1 species
UGCGUAGGCGGCUCAGAAAGUAGGGUGUGAAAGCCCUCGGCUCAACCGAGGAAUUGCGCCCUAAACUACUGGGCUCGAGGAACGCAGAGGUAAGCGGAACUUAGGGUGGAGCGGUGAAAUGCGUUGAUAUCCUAAGGAACACCAGGAGCGAAAGCGGCUUACUGGGCGUUUUCUGACGCUGAUGCACGAAAGCUAGGGGAGCGAACGGGAUUAGAUACCCCGGUAGUCCUAGCCGUAAACGAUGAGCACUGGAUUGGACGGCCCCCCCAUAGGCUUCUAGUCGUAGCGAAAGUGUUAAGUGCUCCGCCUGGGGAGUAUGGUCGCAAGGCUGAA